rnacentral:rRNA from 1 species
UUGGAGGGCAAGUCUGGUGCCAGCAGCCGCGGUAAUUCCAGCUCCAAUAGCGUAUAUUAAAGUUGUUGCAGUUAAAAAGCUCGUAGUUGAAUUUCGGGAUUGACGUGAUGGUCAUGCCUUAAGGGGUAUGAACUGUCACUGUUGAUUUCUCACCUUCUGGAGAAACUUGAUGUCCUUUAUUGGGUGUCUUGCGGAUCCAGGACCUUUACCUUGAAAAAAUUAGAGUGUUUAAAGCAGGCAUUUUUGCUCGAAUACAUUAGCAUGGAAUAAUAGAAUAGGACGGCAUGGUUCUAUUUUGUUGGUUUCUAGGAUCACCGUAAUGAUUAAUAGGGAUAGUUGGGGGCAUUAGUAUUCAAUUGUCAGAGGUGAAAUUCUUGGAUUUAUUGAAGACUAACUACUGCGAGGAGCAUUUGCCAAGGAUGUCUUCAUUAAUCAAGAACGAAAGUUAGGGGAUCGAAGACGAUCAGAUACCGUCGUAGUCUUAACCAUAAACUAUGCCGACUAGGAAUCAGACGAUGUUAAUUUUUUAAUGACUCGUUCGGCGCCUUACGGGAAAC